UCCCAGUAGCAUAACGGAUAGCGCGUUGGACUUUUAAUCCAAAGGUCGUGGGUUCAAAUCCUAACUGGAAAG